UAGGGAAUCUUCGGCAAUGGACGAAAGUCUGACCGAGCAACGCCGCGUGAGCGAAGAAGGUUUUCGGAUCGUAAAACUCUGUUGGUAGAGAAGAACGUUGGUGAGAGUGGAAAGCUCAUCAAGUGACGGUAACUACCCAGAAAGGGACGGCUAACUACGUGCCAGCAGCCGCGGUAAUACGUAGGUCCCGAGCGUUGUCCGGAUUUAUUGGGCGUAAAGCGAGCGCAGGUGGUUUAUUAAGUCUGGAUG
rnacentral:rRNA from 1 species